rnacentral:rRNA from 1 species
GGAGUCUGGGCCGUAUCUCAGUCCCAAUGUGCCCGUCCGCCCUCUCAGGCCGGGUACCCGUCGUAGCCUUGGUGGGCCGUUACCCCGCCAACUAGCUAAUGGCACGCGAGCCAAUCCGUAAGCGAUAAAUCUAUUAAACAAUACCCAUGCGAAUACUGUUGUUACGGAGUAUUACGCGACGUUUCCAUCGACUAUCCUCCACUUACGGGCAUGUUGCUCACGCGUUACUCACCCUUUCGCCGGUCGCCGCCAAAGUAUUGCUACCUCGCGCUGCCCCUCGACUUGCAUGUGUUAAGCCUGCCGCUAGCGUUCAUC